rfam:Ciona savignyi cont_48424, whole genome shotgun sequence.
GGUAGCAUGGCCGAGCGGUCUAAGGCGCUGGUUUAAGGCACUAGUCAUUUCGAUGGCGUGGGUUCGAAUCCCACUGCUGCCA